GGAGGUGAUUAGAUCCUGGGGGCAGAUUUCCCCUUUGGUGUUCUUGUGGUAGUAAAUUAUUGUGAGAUCUGGUUGUUUAAAAGUGUAUGGCACCUCCCUGCCUCUCUCUUCCUUCUGCUCGGGCCAUGUAAGAAGUACCUGCUUCCCCUUUGCCUUCUGCCAUGAUUCUAAGUUUCCUGAGGCCUCUCCGGCCAUGCUUCCUGUACAGCCGUGGAACUGUGAGUGAAUUAAACUGUUUUUUUGUUUGUUUGUUUUUUUUUU
rnacentral:lncRNA from 10 species